AUAAAAUACUGGGCAACGGUGGCGCCUAACUAAAUUUCAAUUGCACUCUACAUUGAAUCUUGUUAGAGAAGAGAGACGGUCAAGCACUUCACUCACAUUUCUAGGGUUCCAUUUUGAUCUUUGCGAUGCAGAAGAAGCUAGGAUUCCCAAUCUCUAAAGCCUCGACCAAUUUAGAUUGUUGUACGGUUCCAUUUCGGCAACUUCGAAGCCAUUAUCUUUGUUCCUUCCUCGGAUUCAACUUGGAAGUUAGGAGUUUCACCAACCUGAAGCUCACUGCAACUUUCACGAACGAAGAUUCUGUCAAAAAUUUGUAUCGCAAUUUGACAAUGCUUGGCUGAUUUCUUCAUGUGCAAAGAACUCAAUGACGCCACAUGAAAAAGAGGAAUAAUCGCCGAUUUAAAUGAUGCCGGAAAAAACGAUGUUUUGGCUGCUAGGGUUCUUCCAUUCUAAAUCGAUCCGUAUUCAUAUAUGUCUUCUCCUCCUCUCAAAUUAUGCUUCUCUUCGUUAUUUAACUACAAUUUCCCAAAUCUCCCCAAAACUUUAAUCGAUUUUCAUUUUCCCUUAGCUAAUUCCCUAUUUUAAUUUUAACUUUGAUGUAUUUUUGCUGAUUUUUAGGUUCUUUUGAAAAGAUGUAUUCUGUGUUUUCAGAGUUAUUGACUGGUAGCUCUAAUUUUUGUUUGCUAUUUAAACUUAUUUUCAUUUCAGUUGAAGUUAUUCUAGGUAAUUGCUUAUUGCCUAUUUAGAGGAAGAUGGAAACAAUGUUGCUGCAGUAGCCUAAUAUUGUUCAUAAAUUUGAUAAUGGCUAUGGCCUGUUUGUGGAAAUGCCUAAGAGAGACUUUGGAGGCUUGGAGUAGCCAAAGGGCCUUUUAACUUUGAAAGCUUCUCAUGGACUAGACUCAAACUCAUUAAUUGCUCACAUACAUUUGUUUUAUGCAGGGAGAUAUUAAGGAUCAUUAAAGUCUGGUUAAGGCAAUCAAGCGAGUUGAUGUUGCAAUUUGCGCAACUUGUAGACAACUAAUAAAAGACUACUAAACUGGAUUUGUGUUUUGGGUCACAUAUUAAUUUGACACUCAAAUUUUGAAAGUAUAUAUCAAGUUCAUGACAGGAGAUAAUUUAUUUUUUACUCUUGAGAUACUGCAAAUGCAAGAUCAUCUAAAUGUCAUCAAACUUGAAGGACUAGCAACAUCAAGGUAUGUUGUUAAGUAUUUAUUCCCCACAAGACCAUGUUUUUUCAUCUUUCUUUCAGUUGAGAGAGGAAAAAGAUGAUGAAAAGUUAGGUCAACACACUGUUGAGGAUCAAGUUAUUGAUGGCUUAACACCAAAUCUUUCAUUCAGGGAUCUCGCGUACUCGGAUGAUCUCAACUUUUAACGUUGCCACAUUGGUGCUUGAGAUUCAUAACGCCAUGCAGUAGUUUGUGUUCCAUAGGUUGCUGACAACAAAUGAUUGAGUACUUAAGAUCUCCUACAAUUGCAUUUUAAAGCAAAUAUCAAAUUAAAAUUAUAAAUGGUUUUAAAAAAUUUCAAAUUGCUUUAUUGACAUUUCUGUUGCAGGAUUCGCUUGUGUUGUAUGCAAGGAUACAAUUGAAUUUAAUUUGUAACACAUUUUCCCCAAUGAAUUAUAAUUGAGAAUGUAAA